rnacentral:rRNA from 1 species
UCGUAAGAUGAAAGCGAGGGACCGCAAGGCCUCGCGCGAUUGGAGCGGCCGAUGUCGGAUUAGCUAGUUGGCGGGGUAAGAGCCCACCAAGGCGACGAUCCGUAGCUGGUUUGAGAGAACGACCAGCCACACUGGGACUGAGACACGGCCCAGACUCCUACGGGAGGCAGCAGUGGGGAAUUUUGGACAAUGGGGGCAACCCUGAUCCAGCCAUGCCGCGUGUGUGAAGAAGGCCUUCGGGUUGUAAAGCACUUUCGGCCGGAACGAAAUCGCCUCCGUUAACAGCGGGGGUGGAUGACGGUACCGGAAGAAGAAGCACCGGCUAACUACGUGCCAGCAGCCCGCGGUAAUACGUAGGGUGCGAGCGUUAAUCGGAAUUACUGGGCGUAAAGGGUGCGCAGGCGGCCCCGCAAGUCAGGCGUGAAAUCCCCGGGCUUAACCUGGGAAUGGCGCUUGAAAC